GGAGACAUCUGGUUAGGGAGAUAUGAACGUUUUAAGACAGAAAGGUCAUGCUGGACAGUGGACUUGGUCCAACCCGAACUCAAGUUGGGUCAGACCCAUUUCCACUUAAUAUUUAAGGGAAAUGUCCAACCCUAGCAGCCUCCUUCCCUCAUAUUUUCAGAUUUUAGAGAGAGAGAAAGGAUAGUUAGAGAGAGAAAGGAGAGGAUCCAACAAGUUGAAGGCCUCAAAUCCCAAGGCUCGUGAAGGAUAAAGUGUAGUACAAGUUCUUGCCGUCGUUCUAAGCUACAAAUCAAACUUUGGAAGUUGAUUUCGUGGUGGAUGCUCACAAAAGAUCAAAGUUGAAAGGGGUGACGAACAUUGUAUUACGCUCAAAGGCUGGAAUUAAGGCAACGAUAUACAGGUUGACGACUCAGCUAUUUAGGAGUGUACGUAUCAGCUACUGGUGAGCCCCAAAUUCCUUCGGGGCGUUGUCAUCUAUCUAGUUAAUUCAGUUUAUAGGCAGUUUUAUUAUUCAGUACUCUUAGAGGCUUCAUAGACACAGUUCAGAUAGUCAGAUAUUUGUUAUGUUAGCCUUGUAGACAGUUAUACUUAGUCAUUCAGUUGUUUUGGUUUAGCCAUGUUAGCUACUUUCAGAUAUAUUUCAGAUUGUCUAAGUAUUUCCGCAUUAUGAUUUCAGUCAGACCUUUAGUAUAUCAGCAUGUGUUUAAUUGUUUCCACAUUCAGUUAUGUUUUGAUAUCACAUGUUGAUUCAGUCAGCCAGUUGGUUCGCUCGGUCACAUGCAGUC